GGGAGUGUCCGGACGCCUGGUGGGUCCCGCGGCCUUCAAAGCCGUUGAGGGGUCGUUUGCGCGGCCCCUGGUGGGUUCGAUUCCCAUCCACUCCCG
rnacentral:tRNA from 1 species